UCUGGUGACAAUGGCAAAGAGGUCACACCUGUUCCCAUGCCGAACACAGAAGUUAAGCUCUUUAGCGCCGAUGG
rnacentral:rRNA from 3 species